AUGCUGGUUAGCGUAACAGCGGUUGCCGCCGGGGUCUACGGGACCGUCCCUCCCAGGAAGACAGAACCCGACACCGCCUCCUGCUCCUCCUGCCUCCGUCGUUGAGGGCCGUCCUGGAGAGCGGUCCGCCGUCUCUUCUUCGUAUUGGACACUGUGUCAUCACUCAUUUUUAUUCAGCGAGGUGGUUAGCAGCCUUCUCUGUCUAAUUCAGUUGCUUGUUUUGGCUUUUAGCCAGAGAGUGUGUGAGGGACACAUUUAGAUUCAGACAACGUGACUGCAUGCUACGAGCGACAAGAAAUAACGGAAAGCAGGAGCAGCGAGAAAGCCUGAAAAGGACCGAUUGUUGAUUUCACCAAGAUAAACAACUGGCACAACAAGGUCUUCCAGCUGAAGAGGAAGUGAAACUUCUUGUUGGACAUGGGAGCUAAAAGUUAUGACACACUG